UACGAAGGGUGCAAGCGUUAGUCGGAAUUACUGGGCGUAAAGCGUGCGUAGGCGGUUUCUUAAGUCCGUUGUGAAAGCCCUGGGCUCAACCUGGGAACUGCAGUGGAUACUGAGAGGCUAGAGUGUGUCAGAGGAUGGUGGAAUUCCCGGUGUAGCGGUGAAAUGCGUAGAGAUCGGGGGGAACAUCAGUGGCGAAGGCGGCCAUCUGGGACAACACUGACGCUGAGGCACGAAAGCGUGGGGAGCAAACAGG
rnacentral:rRNA from 1 species